AUGAACGCUAGCUACAGGCUUCACCCAUGCAAGUCGCGGGGGAACCGGCAUCGAAGGUUUCCUUUUGUUGGGCGUCGCCCGGCCCAGGGGGGAGUAACGCGUAUCCAACCUCCCCAUCACUUGGGAAAAACUUUCCGAAAUUAAGCCAAAUGCCCAAUGCCAUCCCCCAAAGCCAUCCAAUUGGGAUAAAAAUUUUUUGGUUAAUGGUGGGGGUUGCGUCUGAUUAGCUUGUUGGCGGGGUGACGGCCCACCAAGGCAACGAUCAGUAGGGGUUCUGAGAGGAAGGUCCCCCACAUUGGAACUGAGACACGGUCCAAACUCCUACGGGAGGCAGCAGUGAGGAAUAUUGGUCAAUGGGCGAGAGCCUGAACCAGCCAAGUAGCGUGCAGGAGGACGGCCCUAUGGGUUGUAAACUGCUUUUAUAAGGGAAUAAAGUGGGUCACGUGUGACUUUUUGCAUGUACCUUAUGAAUAAGGACCGGCUAAUUCCGUG
rnacentral:rRNA from 1 species